CUCCUGCCACGCCCCGCCCCGCCUCACCGCGCGCUGCCGGCCCCCUGCCCCCCAUCGUCGCACGUCGCCGGCCCUCCGCCCCUCUUUGCCGCGCGUCGCCGGACCGUCUACCGUCGCCGCGCGCUGCCACCGCCUACCCCAUCAGCGCGUCUACUCCUACCCCAAGUGCCCUCACACCCGCGGCCUACCACCGCCGGCGACCCGCGGCGGCCUUCCACCGCCGGCGCCGCUCGACGCAGCGGCGACGGAUCCCCCCGCCUCUGCCACCAUGGCGCCAUCGGGACUCCUCCUCGCUGCUUCCACCUCCACAUUGAUUUCCCCAACCCCGCAGGCUUCGCCUCCAGCCACUUCUUCCCGGCGCACUCUGCCCGCCGUCGGACCCAUCCGCUGAUCUCCACUACCCCAACACCCAAUGACGAUGCAAUCCAUGUUGGCAGAGGAGGAGGUCGUUCAAUCGCCUCAACUCAUGCCAAGAGCAAACUGCAAUUCACCUUGGAAUAUGCAGUGCAAGAGAAGACACAUCGAAUACAGUUUGAAUCAGUUUUUAGACAGCCAGCCGCCAUUGUUGGUGAAGCUUCAGAUUGAGCUGCAGUGAAGCUGCCAAGUGAAAGAACUGCAGCAGACUAGCGGCGAAGCUAUUCAUUUUCUCGGCACCGUGAAGUUUCAUUGCCGGUCACCCCUAUAGGGGCAUAAGUAUGUGACCCAGUGUCCAAUCUUUAUAGAUAAGUCACUAGAUGAUUAUACUAGGAAUCACUUAGGAUAUUAGUAUAUUUUUAGUUAUGCUAUCAUAUGGGCUAUCCACAGCUUAUUGUCAGAUCUAAUUAAACCAGAAGAAAAUCUACUUAAUAUAUGUUUGGCUAUGCGAUUCCAAAUUACUUUGUUUCCGGUAAAAAUACCACAUUACUAACAUAUUUUGUGAUGUUUCCCAUAGUUCUUUUCCUUCAUGAAACAACAUAUGGGUGAGGCAAUAUAUUUUCCUGUCUAUAUAUCGGCGUCUCUGUUUUUAAAAAUUGGCAUUGAGGAUCCCUUUUACAUGUUUUUUCUACACCCUGCUGGGAGCUGAAUUGCCUUUCCUAUAUAUGAACAGAUGGCAAGACAUUCAAAGCAUGGUUCCUCGCAUCUGAGCGACACAGUUUUUAUGCCCUAUGCCCUUGUCCGUCUCACAUAUCUACCUUGUAUCUACAGGAAAAUAUAUAUUUUCUUUCUACUGCUAAGGCAAUCUAUCUACACGUAAUCUAUGGAUUCUUUGUAGUUCAAAUGGACUAAUCUAUAUAUUAUUUAUGCAGUACUGUUUAUUAAGUUAAAGGUACCCUUUCUAGAGAGUGAAAACUGGUGUAGGGCAGGUUAUAUGGGUAGCAAUGGCUUAUAUCCCUAAUUAUAUUCGAUUUUCUGGUUGUACGCAAUUCGCUUUCCUCAUAGGCAGAAGUAAUGGCUGAGCUAAGUUAACGGCUACAUGUUCCAGAACAAAUUGGAUCUGCAGUGUGUAGAUCGAUUGAUGAUAUUUAUUCUACUUUUAGAGAAAGGACUAAGCCCAACUUUUAAUACAAAGCUUUGAAAGAUUCUGAUAUUGCUGGGCCAGAAGCGAACAAGUGCCAUGCAUGGUGAACUGUCGCUAACUUCAGAAGAUGGUAAGGUUGCAUAUGGCUGGAGCAACCUUCUCUUCAAAUUUUCGGAAUUAUUUACCCUUUUUCUCUGUAGUUUUUAUAUUCAAAUUCUCUUAAUUAUUCUUCACCCAUUUUUUCCUCUGCAGUUUCCAUCCUUUUGAAAGCUCCUUUUGUUCUGUAUGAGCCUAACCUGAAAAUAUAUACGGUUAUAUAUUGUCAGUAUUUUCCUUUUUCCAUACCUCAUGGUUAUUCGCUUCUGUUAGCUAGAUGCAUGUGCUUCAGUUAUAGGAAUUGCAUGCCUUCUACGAUUAUGUCGUUGUUAUUGGCUUGCGAAACAUGCAUAAGACUGUACCUAUGGAUAAAAAUUACCCUACAAACUCCAACAUUGAAAAUACAGACUGGCUGACAUGAAAGUUUGAGAAAUGCAGCAAGUGAAUGACCUUGAUUUGCAUAUUCGAGUGCAGGAUUUAGUAGAGCUGGAGGUGUACCAGCUGUUUGAGGGAUAUCAGGUGUCAUCUACUGCAUGUGAGGCUGUUUAUUUCCUUCAUGUCAUUCAAUUUUGUCACCGGGGCCUCUUACGCCUACUCACUAGGAAUUCAAGUCUUCAACAGGAAAAAAAUUCUGAUGCACACUGUGGACAAUCAUGGAGAGCUGAUAUAGAUGAUGGUUCAUAACAUUUACUAUUAUUAUUCUAUUUUGCCAUAUUUUACAUUCUCAUAUAAUUUUGUGUGUGAGCCGGUAAAGAAAAUAGACCAAGAUCUACCAGUCACUCAUACAGAUGCUUCGCUGUUUGAGAAUCACUCGACCAAGCAUUCAGCUUAAUUUUGUUCUUAGAUCUAUUUGUCAUUUGAUGAGUGAGUUGGAAGCCUUUAGGCUAUCCAUGGCAAGCAAAUCAGCACAUAUAUCAUGUUGAUUCCAUGGUAUUUUUAUAACAGCAUUUAGGUGGACCUCUAACUUAUACUCAACAUGUACGUGCAUGAAUAUGUAUUUGGGUGGCCAUCUUGAUGUGCCUGGGGCCUUGAGAUCCUUGCCGCCCCCACGUUGAAAGACCGGCACAUCUGCUCCACGCCUCCACCAUGGUCACACGUUCUUCCGUGCAGUACUGCUUUCAAUGUCUUGAGACGCUGAUGUCCAUCACAAACGACGACUGCAGCAGCUGCUCCUGUUUCAAGGGAAAGACAGGGCACUGGGAGCAGGCAUUUUAUCAAGGACCAUUUUGUUGCAUAUGAAAUGGGAACAAUUUGGUAUUAAAGGGGGGUUGGCGAUUCACCAUCAUUAUGUUUCCUAUGCCAUCUACUCCCUCCGUCCCAAAAUUCUUGUCUUAGAUUUGUCUACAUACGGAUGUAUCUAUUCACAUUUUAGUGUUAGAUACAUCCGUAUCUAGAUAAAUUUAAGACAAGAAUUUUGAGACGGAGGGAGUACUAGGAUCUUCUUUACACCAACUCUACACCAGCCUAUUGGCAUGUUUAUAAACAAAGGAAACUGCUUUGUUCAUAACUUUACACCAACCUAUUGGCAUGUAUAUUAGCAGCAAUGUAACUUAAAUGAACAACUCUAGCAUAUUAAUUAAAAUUCCUUGCACAAUACUUCUCAGUUUCUCAGGUUUAAGAACAAUCUAUAGCACAUUUAAUCUCUUCAGUUAGUAGUCAUGUUUUCCUAUUUAGAUAUUUAUUUUGUGAUCUUGACCUUUACUCCACAUUAAUAUAACCUGAUUUUAAAAUAUAUUUUUAAAGUUGAUUAUAAAUUAUUUUGUUGGAUAGUACAUCAUCUUCAUUCCAUUGGAUAACAUUACCAUCCCUGGUUACAUGAAUAAGCAAAUGUAGCUAUGUCUAAGAUUCCAGAUUCAGGUUGCAAGGUCCUUUUAGAAUCUGCAAAGUAAUUUAUUUUAUCACUUUGUGCUAUCAACUUUGGUAAUCGCUUACUAUUCAUCUGCACGUGAACUUGCCUAUUUUUAGAAAAGUCACUUUAUUGUGAAGUUUGAUUAUUCUUCUAUUUGGGGUUGGCCUAAUAGUCGGUUGUCCAUAUAAGGUCACAUGUACAUUACUUGUUGGAUAUUAUAUGGUUCCAGUUCUCACAAACUUCUCAAUAGCUUGCAGAUGAUUGAUUGAAUGCUUUUUUCUGAUUAUUACACAUCAUCAGUUAUGUAUCAAAAGGCUGAAGUGCCCUUUGAUCAAUCUAACAUAAAGAAGAUUUGUAUGAGCUGCAUGUAAUAGUAACAUAGAAAUUAUGACUGAUGGGAGACAAAAAGAGGGCUGUUGUAGUGGUAAAGAAGUCAAAAUGACCGUUGUUGAACCUAGCAUGUCUACAAAUAAGCAUAUGGCGAUGGACAUAACUUUCUUAUUCACAACUUUCUUAUUUGCAACGGCACUGUCCACUGUUUUCUUCAUAAAAGUUUAUUAUUUGGUCUAUCAGUGUGGUAUGUAUUUGCUUGGUUGUGUCCAGUAUAAGGGUUAGUUGUUGAUAAAUGUUAAGGGGUUGGUUUAUAACUAUUUAAUAUAAGAAAAGAACACGAUGAAGCCA